rnacentral:lncRNA from 1 species
AGUGGCUGAGAGCUCCUCCAGGAAGCAGUUGUUAAUCAACUUAGAUCGCUGGAAAUAACUAUCACUUUGGCAUCCUGGGCAAUUUUCCCUCUUAGCAAACUAGCUCUCUGGUUGAAGGUGACAUUGAGUAAAGCCUGUGUGACAGAGCAAAGCCAGCGUGCAGGAGUUUCCUACAGAGCCUAUGUAGAAAACCAAGGCACCACAGCCCAGGAAGGCCAGUGGAGCCAGCGCUGAUGGCUUCACCUGCCUCACACACUCACCUUCGUCCCGCCACUGUGCCAAAGCCUGCCUGCCUACUGGGGGCCAGUGGUGACUCCUCACCAGACGUGACUGCCUCAGUAUAAAGUUUGUGUGUGCAGGCUCCAGAACACCUGGUGUCCUUCUUGUCCUAUCAACACAGGUAAUUCUCUUCCCACUGUGUUAAUCCCGCGCAUUAACUAACACAGAGCAUAUACACUGCUGUGGGGUAACUUGAAGGGAAGGACCAUGGCUGCUAAAGAUACAGGAACCCAAGAAGAUGCUGGCUUAAGAUGUUUCCACAAGAGGAAUGAAAAGGAGACGCACGCCCUGGGCAAUAAAAAUGAAUAUUCAACA